rnacentral:rRNA from 1 species
AGUGAACGCUGGCGGUAGGCCUAACACAUGCAAGUCGAACGGCAGCACAGUAAGAGCUUGCUCUUACGGGUGGCGAGUGGCGGACGGGUGAGGAAUACAUCGGAAUCUACUUUUUCGUGGGGGAUAACGUAGGGAAACUUACGCUAAUACCGCAUACGACCUACGGGUGAAAGCAGGGGAUCUUCGGACCUUGCGCGAUUGAAUGAGCCGAUGUCGGAUUAGCUAGUUGGCGGGGUAAAGGCCCACCAAGGCGACGACCCGUAGCUGGUCUGAGAGGAUGAUCAGCCACACUGGAACUGAGACACGGUCCAGACUCCUACGGGAGGCAGCAGUGGGGAAUAUUGGACAAGGGGCGCAAGCCUGAUCCAGCCAUACCGCGUGGGUGAAGAAGGCCUUCGGGUUGUAAAGCCCUUUUGUUGGGAAAGAAAAGCAGCAGGUUAAUACCCCGCUGUUCUGACGGUACCCAAAGAAUAAGCACCGGCUAACUUCGUG